GCCGGGCGUGGUGGCGGGCGCCUGUAGUCCCAGCUACUCGGGAGGCUGAGGCAGGAGAAUUGCUUGAACCCAGGAGGCGGAGGUGGCAGUGAGCCGAGAUCACGCCACCGCACUCCAGCCUGGGUGACAGAGCAAGACUCUGCCUCAA
rnacentral:SRP_RNA from 1 species